AACAUGCUCCCAGUUAGGACAGUGCUUGGCACAUAGCAAGUGUUCAAUAAACGCUGGUUCCAUCAAUGGCAGAACUCACACAUCCAGACACACGCCAAACAACAAACCGAGAAACGGAAGGUGAUCAGCAAAGGAAGACAUGCGUGCACACUUCCCCAUUCUAGAUUCAUUAUCAUGGAUCGAAUUGGUUCUCUUCUCUGGGGAACAUCCGGUUAUAAGGAACGGUGACACUGGACACUGCCUCCCAGUGAACCCCAACUGCUUUACGUACUUGGAUUGAGAACACGGAUUGAGAACAUGAAAUAAAAGAAGAAUCUGCUUUAUCAAAACAAUUCCGACGGUACCAGAAGAGCGGCCUGCAGCCCUUCUUUAUUCUGAGAGUUGGGAAGGAUUCCCAUGGCUCCCAUGGCAGAUGAGGUGCCCCAGACCGAACCAGGUCUGGGAGAGUUUUGUUAGAAUGAGAAGGAAGGUGGACUUGUUUUUUAAAAUUCAGCUGAUGUCAUGUUCACUUUGGGACAGCAUUUUGAAAAAUGGGAAGCUUACUUCCCUGAAAAAACCAGAAACUUCCCAGAAAGCCUGGUGUAUCCGGCCUUGUGUUGGAAACAAGCAAACACAGUCCACAGGCUGCAGAAACCUGCUUGUUAAGUGGCGAAAGGAAAAUGCCCUCAGCCAGACAGCCGAAACACAGGAAUGUCGGGCUGGCCGGAGAUCAGAUCCACAAUCGGAAGUGGAGAAGAGACCGAUAAGGCUAUGAAGAGAGCAGCGUCAGUCAGCAAAACUGGUUUCCGAGUUUAACAGUUCCCAAGUGGGACAGCCACGGAAGACCUGAGGCAGGGACAGGGAAGAUGAGGAGAAGGCCGAGGAGCCAGCAUCAGGCCGGACUUCCUGACUCGGGCACUUGGACACGGAUGUGCAGAACCCAGGGAGCAAGGCUGCUGGAUGAAGCCUCAUCAGAGCAGAGGUGGCCAGGGUUUCUCAGGUGAGCGGAAGAGGGAAUCUGCUUGAACUGCAGCUUGAAAGCAGACAUGCUCAAAAGAGUCUAUAUCUGGGCAAGGUCACAUCUCAGCCUGGCAAUGAGAACUUGGGCAAGGUAAUGCCCUCACUGGGAAAACACUGAAGAAAACCAGCACUAGCUAGCCUCGUAAGACAAAACAGGGCAGCAAAUAUUUAUUUAUAGGUUCAGUAGAUCAUUUGACUUAUUGGUAGUGUUGAUUCAAUUUUUUUCCUUUUUUUCUUUUUUUUAUAUAAAGCAUCUGCUGGGUGCCGAAAAAGGCUAUGUCUCACUCAACUCUUUUUCCAGCUGAAUUUUCAGUGAAGAGGAAGAGAAAGCAUGCAAGAAACAGCACAUGGCAGCUCUACCAAAGAGGACAUUAUUUGGUUUCAUGUUUGGAUGUUAAAUAUCCUUAAAGAUUCAAUAGUCUCAACCCAAUUGGUGUCAUUCCAGGAAGAGAAUAGACUCUUAAAAGAAACUGGGAGAGGAGUCUAGCAGCAAAAGAGAAAAAAAGGGACAUGCUAGCUCAAGACAGGCAAAGAAAUUAGACACUUCUCAGUGAUUUGAAGGAAUUUAUAGCACAUAGGGCCCG
ensembl:lincRNA